UACGUAGGUGGCAAGCGUUGUCCGGAAUUAUUGGGCGUAAAGCGCGCGCAGGCGGUCCUUUAAGUCUGAUGUGAAAGCCCACGGCUCAACCGUGGAGGGUCAUUGGAAACUGGGGGACUUGAGUGCAGGAGAGAAGAGUGGAAUUCCACGUGUAGCGGUGAAAUGCGUAGAGAUGUGGAGGAACAGCCAGUGGCGAAGGC
rnacentral:rRNA from 1 species